GUCACUAUUCAUGUCACGUAAUUUAAAGGGUUGGUGUGUGCGAGUCGUUCGGUCUAAACUUCAAAAACGGUCAGUUUUUUGCGUUUUAUAUAAGAAAAUUGACGAUUUUCCCAUAGAAGAACGCUUCCGAUGCCGUUGCUUCGUAUUUUCGCUGUCGUACUGGUGAUGUUUGCAGGAAAACCGCAAUAUUUUAAUUGAGGACUUUCUGACGUUUAUUGUUGUCAAAAAGACACUGUCGUCUAAACGCUUUAUUUGAGUUUUUCUCAAAAAAGUAUGCAUUUUGAGUAUUGGAAGCUUCCUAAUUCCUUACUUGAAGACAUAGAUUGGCAGCCUAAGGGCCCAAGGCGCAAGCCCCCAUUUUCACACAGUUGCCAAUAUUUUUCAACUGAAGCGUUUUCUCAAACAACUACAAAUAUUUCCCCGAUUGUUGUUGAAAAACUGAAGUUUCAAUUUUUGGCGCAGUUUUAUCUGGAUAAAUUUUCGAAAAAACCGUUUUACAACUAGCAUUUUGUAACCUAGUUUAACAUGUGAACCGCAGAAAAAUCUAUGUAAAAAUACCAUCACGA